GUCCACGCCGUAAACGAUGGGCACUAGAUGCUGGGCCUUUCGAUGGGUUCGGUGUCGCAGCUAACGCAAUAAGUGCCCCGCCUGGGGAGUACGGCCGCAAGGCUGAAACUCAAAGGAAUUGACGGGGGCCCGCACAAGCGGUGGAGCAUGUGGUUUAAUUCGAAGCAACGCGAAGAACCUUACCUGGGCUUGACAUCCAUGUGAAAGCCCCUGGAAACAGGGGCCCUCCUUCGGGACACUUGGACAGGUGCUGCAUGGCUGUCGU
rnacentral:rRNA from 1 species